GAGCAGGUACAGAGAAUCGGCAAACUCGGCGGUCUGUAAAACCGUUGCUUUAUGCGUAGUGGGGUCGGCACCCACCCUGCCCACCA
rnacentral:tRNA from 1 species